UUAGCUUUCAAGUAGCGCUCUCUGGCCUAUUCUCCCGCUGCCUCCCCCUGGACCGCUCAGGAGGGGAUGUCCUGCAUCUCUGGCCCUCAGCACCGUUUUCUCACCACGGAGUGCUGGCGUCAUCCAGUAACUCUCUCUCCACUACUGGGAACUCCGGUGAGCAUGCCUGAGGCAUCUCUGCCUACCCAGAGCCUCAAACCCGUCCAGUCCAUGAAUGUUGAAAAGAAUUGACUGGAUCCUGCAUUCCUGCGGCCUAACGACCACUCAGGCUGGAGAGCCAUGAAGCCAUCCACCACAGCACCUCCAUCCCCCACGGCCAACUGAGAGAGCUCUUUGAAGCCAGGACCUCACACUCGAUGAGUUUGGAUUGGCACGGUUGGCCCCCUCACGCCCGACUCUGCCCUGUCAGCCUCAGCACAGCUUGCCUAGUGGCUGUGCUCUUCCCCGGCCCAAACGGCAGCACCUUAGGGCCAGGACACCUGGGAAGAAGACUUGCCUGUGCCUGCGAGAAUUCUCUGCGCAGCAAGGAAUGACUCAGCGAGCAUUCAGGGUGGCAGUGAAUGGAAUGUAUUUUUAUGAAAUGUCCUUGACCACAAAUGGUAUUCUCUGCCCACGUAGGACCAAAAGCUCCAGGAGAUAAAUACCUGGUUCUGCCUAUUCACUUUACCCUAAAUGCUUAAUCCUUCAUUGCUAACGUGUCUGCAACACUUGGAACUCUCUUGGAAAAAUGAAGAUUUAUUCACUGAA